GGGUUGGGUUGGAGAUGGUUUUGAGCCUUCCUCAGUAGCAGUGGCAGAGGUUGAGCCAUCAAUGUUCAGGGGCCCCAGGAGAGGACUUGCUUUUGAUGCUGGGUACACCAUUUUGGCUGCUUGUGUGACAGGUUCAUGCAUUCCUGCAUAGCCUGUAUCAUCUGUCUAGGGAGUGUGACUGAGUUCCAUGUCCAUGCACUGUAGAGUAACUUGGGUGUGAGGUGUCCAUUACAGGAAAGGAUCUGGCCCCUGGGCCUCCAACAGCCCUACUGCGGUCAUGGCCAAAAGGGUAUGAAAGUGAAGUAGUCUUUAUUCCCCUCCUAAUGGUGCUUUCAGGACACCAAGCAGUCCUUGGUGCACCUUGUGGAAAAACUGACAUUGAAGCUGCAGGGUUGCUUUUCUCUGACCAAUGGGGUUGUGAAUCUGGCACGUUUUUAUCAGCACUAGGUGAAGAUAGAACAGCCAAAGGCAGGAAAGGGUAUCAACAUUAGGGUUCUAUAGAACUUUGGGAGGGGUUUGUCCUUGAGACUUAGUGAUUCCUGCGUGGAGUAGCAAAGAUAGUAGUCAGGGACACUUAAUUUCCAUGGGUCACUCCUGUCCAAGGUGCAGCAUGGGUUAAUUUACUGUGUCCUCCACUAGAGGAGUCCCUUCUAUGCUUGUCUGGGGAGAAUAUCAGAUAUGGAGCCACACUGUUGCACUGAAGUUGGUAGCACUUGCAGGACAGGGUGCUUAGAGCCAAUGCAGAGAUACGGUCCCCUGCAGCCCAGACACCUGCUGUUGACCCACUGCUUGCUUUCUGUAGUAGGCCCUGGCAUGGCUCCUCACACUAUGCAAGAGCUGCAGGCUCAAAUGCCUUGACAUCUGGCAAAUUCCCAACAGGUACAAAUCUUUCCUACAUCUAAGGAAUCUAUGGGAUCUAUUCCAGCCACAUAUUUGUCUCACUGAAUCCCAAGGGCAGGCAAAUGAAUUGUGAUUGCUGGUUCUGAGCAGGCAGUGUAGGGUUGGGGAUACGAUUUGUUGUGACGAGCACUGAUUUCUGCACUUGAUCUGGUUUUUUCAACUAUUGAGAUGUGUGUGUGUGUGUGUGUGUGCGCAUGAUUUAUUACCCAGAAAGGCUUUGCCUUUGGCUUUUAUACCUGCAAAGCCUCCUAGCUGGGUCAAGAUUAGCCUGAAGGAAACAGUGCUAUGCUGCUGGAGGAACAAGGUGGGCCAGACAACAGCGUCUCUGGAAACAGCUUUCUUAAUAGGUGCUUUGCUGUGUCUUGUGUUUUGUGAACAAAUUUGAAAUUCAUGGCCCUGUUGACAAAUAAAUUACAAAGGGGAAGGGAAGUAAGUUUUGAGUGCAGGAGAAGAAAUCAUAGGAAAGCCUUGAGGAGGUCAUCUAGUCCACCCUUUCCCAUCGCUCUAGGCCUCUGGGUUUACAUCCAAUCCAGAUUAGAAAUUAAUGACUUCAUUUCCUUUGUUGUAUUUUGCUAACAACAAAUUUGCCUCAGGGGAGUGGCAAGUGGGGAUGGUCCCCACUUACACCUCACCAUAGCCCUUCCCAUGCACAGCAGCUCAUCUCAACACAAAGCAAGCUGAUGCCGGGAAAUGGACCAGUGGAAAACCAAUCCUACCGAAAAAAUGCCAGUAAUUUUGUGCUGGUUUUAACUUUCAGCCAGCAAACUUGGACGACACUGCUGCCUACAGGGAAGGGCCGGAGUGGAGGCCAGCAGCAGCUCCUCCUUGCACAGCAGCUGCUUGCUCAACUAGCUUAGCUGCACUGGUGGACUGCUCCCUCCAUGGUCUCCAUGGCUUUGGUUGUGGGUCUCCUCCCAGUUUGGGGAAAGGCUUGAGUGGGAGCAGUGCUUUUUCUCACAGCCUGAUUUGCAUUGCUUUUAUGGUCGGUAAAGCAGAAUAAGCCACUGAGUGUGGACCUGGCUGGAUGGUAUCUAUGGGCUCCUGUGCAGGAAGGGUAGUAAACCACAGGGGUUCAGAGUUCCUUUCUGGGCUAAAACUGAGAGGAAUUGCUGCUAAUAGCAAACCUGCUCUGCUGCUACCUAGAGUUAUACAGGGGAUAAAGAAAAGGGAUCACGCAGGCAUUUCGUUCUCUGAGGGUUUGAAAAUAGGUGGUAUGUCCUAGUCUUGUGAAAGCAGGGUGAAAACAGUAAUGCUGCCUAGUUCAGGGUCACGGAGAGGAGGUGCCCACAUGGCUCUUCUGAGGUGUUUCUGGUCAUAUGCCUUCUCCUCCCUGGUCCAGCAGAAGUGAAACUUCUUCUGGAGCAACUGUGUGACAGUGGUGGUGUUUUUACAUAUUCUCAUGUUACCCCUCAGGUGAAGCCACUCAUGUCCCUGUGUGGCCCUGCGCUCAGACCUGGAGCUGACCUCCUGGUUACUAUGAUGGGUUGAUUGAGCAGGGAAACGCCAUACAGAUGAUUGCUGCUGUGAGGAUGCACCCUUGUGUCACAAGGGGCUCACCAACACUGGAGCUUCCUUCAUCCCUGUCUCCAUCCUCCUCCUCUUCCUCUGACCACCUUAUUUCUUUCCCAAAUCCCUGGACUUCAUCUUUGUGCCUAAGGCACCGGGCUGCCUACCUGAGCAGACUCCACAUGCCAUGCAGUCUGCUGCACCUCAACUGGGCCAGGACUGAAAAGUGGCUGCUGAUGCCCUCCUGAAAACCCUGCCAUUGAUCUAGGGGAUACCAGGGCUGGGUCGGGAAAGAGUAGAAGUGCUGCUGUGAUACAUGCUCAGCGCAGCUUCUUGGGGCCUUCUCCUGGAGCUCACUGCUUGGAGCACGCCUCCUUCCAUCCUGGCAUUCCUCUAAGGAGGCAUGGCUGGGAGGCGUGUACCAGUGGCGGGGUUUGGUGACGAGCUGACCACCAAAAGUUGAACACAUCAAGAUCCUGAAGGGACCGAGGUCCUAAUCGUCUCCCCAAGAAACCUCUGGUCCUGAGACAGUAUUUUUGCAGACCGUGCAACCUGGAUCUGUAGAGGACAACUCCUGAAAAUUCGUCCCAAUGUGCCUUAAGCUAUUCCUUUUUGGGAUUCAUCCUGAAGGAACCUGAGGUGCAGAGGCAGCCUCUUUGCUGUCUGCUAGUCUGUGGUUGCUCUUAGCAGCCAAUAUCCACUGGCAGGAUUUGCUUGGUGCCCUCCAGAGCAGAAGGGGAGGAUGGAGAGACGUGCCUUAACCUUGUAUUUAUGCCUAACAGUUUGUGUAAGAAGGCAAGGACAGGUUCCUCAUGUGCCUUGCAAUUUACAUCUUUUACUGACAUUAUUUUUAAACACUGUUACUAAAGAGAAGUACAAAAGAGUUUGUAUUUUUUCCCUGGGAAACAGGGAAGGGUACGAGUGUUAUGUAUUAACCAUCCCCUUCCUAACUCCCAUCUGCUGACUUUGUACUGUGUAAAACACUGACAAUAUUUUAAGCUUUGUACUGUACUGAUCGUUAUUUAAAAAUCUUAGUGGGGAAAAAAAAAAAGAACCAUCUGUAAAAGCAAAA
rnacentral:lncRNA from 1 species